GACGGAGGGUGCGAGCGUUAUUCGGAAUCAUUGGGCGUAAAGAGCGUGUAGGCGGCCGGUUAGGUCAGGUGUGAAAGCCCGGGGCUCAACCUCGGAAGUGCACUUGAAACUGGUCGGCUUGAGUUCGGGAGAGGGAAGCGGAAUUCCUGGUGUAGAGGUGAAAUUCGUAGAGAUCAGGAGGAACACCGGUGGCGAAGGCGGCUUCCUGGACCGAAACUGACGCUGAGACGCGAAAGAGUGGGGAGCAAACAGG
rnacentral:rRNA from 1 species